rnacentral:rRNA from 1 species
UACGUAGGGUCCGAGCGUUGUCCGGAAUUACUGGGCGUAAAGCGCGCGCAGGCGGCCCGCGAGGUGUCACGUGAAAGCCCCGGGCUCAACCCGGGAGGGUCGUGGCAAACCGGCGGGCUUGAGGCCGGUAGAGGUGGGUGGAACUCCUGGUGGAGUGGUGAAAUGCGUAGAGAUCAGGAAGAACACCCGUGGCGAAGGCGGCCCACUGGGCCGGUACUGACGCUGAGGCGCGAAAGCCAGGGGAGCAAACGGG